GGAGAGGUCGCAUAGUGGCCUAGUGCGUUCGAUUGGAAAUCGAAUGUCCUCGUAAGAGGACCGCGAGUUCAAAUCUCGCCCUCUCCG
rnacentral:tRNA from 1 species